CCCGAAAAAAAUCCAAAUUAAUUUCUGUGGAUUUUUAGAAAUGAUUUCACAAUAGUGGGAGCGAGUACGAGGCUCGGAGAAGUUGUGGAAUUAGUUCGAACGAUUAAUUUUCGAAAACGUACGUUAUUUAGGGGCACGCGAAAAUCGACUUUUUAUAUGUAUGGAAUUUGGGAAAACUCCCUUCAUGAAAGUUGUAGAGCUCGUCGAUACGAUCGCGUGCAUAUGUAGAACGCAAAAAUCGGAGUUCGUAUGAAUUAGUUAUGAUUUUUUGAAAAAGUUUCCAAUUUAGUAUAAAUCUUCCAUUUUCGGAAAUUUCCGAAAAUAAUUUCAGAAACUUCCAAAAAUGGAAAUUGAGCUGCAGCCCCUCCCCCGACCGGAAAUCGCCUUCGAUUUUCUUCCGGCUAUUUCUUCCUCCUCCGGCCACCGAUCCUCACCAAACUUCUUCCAUUGGCUUCGUAUGGUCCUUGCGCACCUGUCUGUGGCAGCCUUGCACGGUGGCGCGGCCUGUAGCGGCGGCGGCAAGCCCGGUCCGAUUUGAGUUCGAUUUUAGUCAACGCCGGUUUUCUCCUAGCUCCGGCCACCAAAACUUUCGAUCCUUAGCUCUAUGAACUCGCCUCAACCUGCUGAUCAUCAUACUAGAAGGAUCGCACCUGGAGUGACCGGUUUCACGUUCGUCGGAGCUCGGUAAGUUUUCAAUCCGAAACGAAAAUCUUUCGAUCGGUAUAUCUCGAGCUGUAGUGCAUCGUUUUGAUUGAUUCUUUUUCCAGUGGGUUCCCCUUGAUGUUAUUAACAACUCUCUAGAAGGCAUCGAGGCCUGAAAUUGAAGCUUUGACGUCGAAAUCGAGCCUUGCCGGAUUCUGCAAAAUUCUGGAAUUUUUCCGACCACCGAAGCUUUCGAUCGGUAUAUCUCGAGCUACAGACCAUAUUUUUCUGUGAUUCUUGAACCAGUGAGUUCUUCUUGAGUUUCUUAACAACUCUUCAGAAAGAAUCGAAGCCUUAAAUUGACGUUUUUACGUCGAACUGGAACUCGCCGUUUUCUGCAGUUUCUCGCCGGUUUCUGGAACAUUCCGGCCACCUUCAUACUGUUCAAGGUGAUCGACAGUUUGAUUUGGCGGACGAUUCGUGAAAUUGUAUUUUGAGCUGUUAAGAAGACGCAGCGGGAAUUUAGAGCGGGUAAUCUUACAGGACAGGAGAACCAGGACGGUGAUCGUGCGGUUAGAGCAAUGAUUAUAGUUUUACAGCAAUUGUAAUAGUGAGGCGAGUUAAGCUCAUUUGAGCCUUACAAUUUGAUUUGGUGGGAGUGUGCUGUAAUAAAUAACUUGAGGAAUUGGGUUAUUGUAAAUUUGAGAGUUGUGAAGUGUGGUUGUUUGUGAGAAAAAAAUUCAGGAUGUUAGUUGUAAUUUGUUAUUAUUCAUGUUUCGGAUUUGAAUUGAUUAUUCAAAAUUCGG